rnacentral:rRNA from 1 species
UUAAUUGAAGAGUUUGAUCAUGGCUCAGAUUGAACGCUGGCGGCAGGCCUAACACAUGCAAGUCGAGCGGUAACAGAAAUUAGCUUGCUAAUUUGCUGACGAGCGGCGGACGGGUGAGUAAUGCCUGGGAAUAUACCCUGAUGUGGGGGAUAACUAUUGGAAACGAUAGCUAAUACCGCAUAAUCUCUUGUCUUUUACGAGAUGGGAGCAAAGAGGGG